rnacentral:rRNA from 1 species
CUACGGGACGCACCAGUGGGGAAUAUUGGACAAUGGGGGAAACCCUGAUCCAGCAAUGCCGCGUGUGUGAAGAAGGCCUGCGGGUUGUAAAGCACUUUCGGUUGGGAGGACUGCUUCUAGCACUAAUAUUGUUGGAAGUUGACGUUACCUUCAGAAGAAGCACCGGCUAACUCCGUGCCAGCAGGAGCGGUAAUACGAAAGGUCCAAGCGUUAUCCGAAUUUAUUGGGCGUAAAGCGUCCGCAGGCGUCUCAAUAGGUUUCUGGUCAAAUCCUAGGGCUUAACCCUAGACCUGCCAGAAAAACACUUGAGAUAGAGAGUGGGAGAGGUCACCGGAAUGGCUGGUGUAGGAGUCAAAUCCGUUAAUAUCAGCUAGAACACCGAAGGCGAAGGCAGGUGACUAGAACACUUCUGACGCUCAUGGACGAAAGCGUAGGUAGCGAAAGGGAUUAGAUACCCCUGUAGUC